AAUUGAUGACGCCGUUGACUUUUUCUCACAUGUUUGACCAUUCAUCUUAUUCAAAAAAUUUACGUAAUUAUAAUUUGUUUUGUCAUGAGUUGUUUUAUCAUUCAUAAUACUUUAAGUGUGAUUUAUAUCUUAUAUAUUUGCAUAAAAUUUUUGAAUAAGACGAAUGAUCAAACAUAUGAGAAAAAGUCAAAUGCGUCAUCUAUU
rnacentral:pre_miRNA from 1 species